rnacentral:piRNA from 1 species
UAAAAGGUUUGAGAGUCUCUGCCACGC